rnacentral:rRNA from 1 species
CAUUAAUACCCAUUCAAUCAUAAUGAAUAUGAUGUUGAUUCAGAUAAAAUGCUAUAUAGAGACAUAACACAUGCAAAUAGAAUAAUAUUCUGUGUACAGGUGAGUAAAAAUAGAUAGAGAUAUCUAAAUUAGAUUAAGGUAAUAGUGUAACCUAAUAUACUAGCCUAAGAACUAUAAUUGAUGAUGGAAGUCAUAACGAUCACAUAUGCUAAUUAGCAUACUACUAUUAGUAGCAGCAGUGAGGAAUCAUUGACAAUGACCGUAAGGUUGAUCAUGUUAUCUAUAAGAAAUAUAAUAAGUUAUUAUAACUAAUCUUAAAUUAUAUAAUUUGUAUAUAAAUAUAGUUUUAUACUAUAAAUAUAUAUAUAUAUAUAUAGCUACACUAUUUUCUUAUUUAUAAGUUUAGAGUGUAAAUUUAACAUUAAUAUUAGGUAUAUUUCACCUUAUAAUUUAAUAAUGAUAGAUUAUAAAGGUAAGUUCUAACCAAUGUAUGUGCCAGCAGUUGCGGUGAGACAUCAAGAGCGAGCAUUAAUCUACCUUGGCCUAAAGAACCUGUAGAUUGCUUAUAUAAGAGCUAGAAUAUAUUAUAGAUAUAAAGUACUACUGUUAUAGAGAUAAAAUACGAUAACAACAGUACUACUGCAUAAUAUAUAUUAAUAAUAUAUUGACAUUGAGAGGUGAAAGCUAUAGUAGCGAUAUGGAUUCGAUACCCAUGUAGUUAUAGCCGUGAACUAUGCAUACUAUAUAGAAAUACGAAGGUGUAAAGUAUGCCGCCAGACUAGUACGUUUUCACGAAUAAAAUGCAAGACAUUAGACGGUUAUAUAUAAAGGCAGUGGAGUAUACUGUUUAAUUGGAUGAUACCCCUUAAACCUUACCUAUUUUUGAAUAAUAUUUAUAUUUUUAUAUAUAUAUAUUACAGGCGUUACAUCGUUGUCGUCAGUUCAUGCUUUAUGGUAUAUUAUUAAGUUAUUUAAUGAACGUUAACCUCUUUCACUAAUAUAAUAAAGUGAAUCAGUAUCUUUGAUAAAAGAUAGGAAGUAGAGGCUUAAGACUAAUCAUGAUGACCCAUAUAAAUAGGGCUACAGGUGUACUACAAUUAUUUACUUAAUUAUAAGUUAUAUAAAUAACUAUAUAUUAAUAUAAAUUAUUAAGAUUAACAUUCUAUAUAAUUGGAUUAUUAACUGCAAUUUGUUAAUAUGAAAAAGGAAUUGCUAGUAAUCAUAGACAUAGAGAGCUAUGGUGAAUUAUACAUAUAUUUCGCACUAAUCACUCAUCAAUAGCAUAGAUAAGACCUUUAUAGAUAAACUAUAUAUGUUGUCUAUGAUAUGCUAUAAGUUGAAAUACAGUUCGAGUAAGGGAACUUGCUCGGGAUUUAUAAUAAGAUUAUAUAUUCAUACAUACAUAUAUAUACAUAUUUUCGUAUAUCACUCCGAAGCCUUUCAAUUUCAAUUUCAAUUUCAAUUUCAAUUUCGAUUCAGAGGAAGACAUAAAAAGAUAUAUAUUACAUAUAUUUCCAUCAAUAAUCAAAGGAAUAUUUCCAUCGAUCGAUAGCUCCCUCCCAAAGGGAGGGGACAUAUAUUUAUAUACGUAUUUAUAUACUCUGUAUAUUUACACUAUUGCCCCCUCCGAAUCGAAUGAUUCGGAGGGAUAGGCGGAAAUAUAAUAAUUUGUCAUAUCUUAUGUAUAUUAUAAUAUAAAUACUAUAAUAGUUUAUGUGUAUAAUAAUAUAAAUUCUAUAAUAGUUUAUAUAUAUAAUAAUAGUUUAUAUGUAGAAUAAUAGUAAUAUCAUAAUUCAACGCUCCCCCCCUUCUUUACGCCCCCCUCCUUUGGAGGGGUGCGCAGAAACGAAGGGGGGGGUGAGA